rnacentral:rRNA from 1 species
GAUGAACGCUGGCGGCGUGCCUAAUACAUGCAAGUCGAGCGAAUGGAUUAAGAGCUUGCUCUUAUGAAGUUAGCGGCGGACGGGUGAGUAACACGUGGGUAACCUGCCCAUAAGACUGGGAUAACUCCGGGAAACCGGGGCUAAUACCGGAUAACAUUUUGAACCGCAUGGUUCGAAAUUGAAAGGCGGCUUCGGCUGUCACUUAUGGAUGGACCCGCGUCGCAUUAGCUAGUUGGUGAGGUAACGGCUCACCAAGGCAACGAUGCGUAGCCGACCUGAGAGGGUGAUCGGCCACACUGGGACUGAGACACGGCCCAGACUCCUACGGGAGGCAGCAGUAGGGAAUCUUCCGCAAUGGACGAAAGUCUGACGGAGCAACGCCGCGUGAGUGAUGAAGGCUUUCGGGUCGUAAAACUCUGUUGUUAGGGAAGAACAAGUGCUAGUUGAAUAAGCUGGCACCUUGACGGUACCUAACCAGAAAGCCACGGCUAACUACGUGCCAGCCGCCGCCGUAA